rnacentral:rRNA from 1 species
GAUGAACGCUGGCGGCGUGCCUAAUACAUGCAAGUCGAGCGAACGGACGAGAAGCUUGCUUCUCUGAUGUUAGCGGCGGACGGGUGAGUAACACGUGGAUAACCUACCUAUAAGACUGGGAUAACUUCGGGAAACCGGAGCUAAUACCGGAUAAUAUUUUGAACCGCAUGGUUCAAAAGUGAAAGACGGUCUUGCUGUCACUUAUAGAUGGAUCCGCGCUGCAUUAGCUAGUUGGUAAGGUAACGGCUUACCAAGGCAACGAUGCAUAGCCGACCUGAGAGGGUGAUCGGCCACACUGGAACUGAGACACGGUCCAGACUCCUACGGGAGGCAGCAGUAGGGAGUCUUCCGCAAUGGGCGAAAGCCUGACGGAGCAACGCCGCGUGAGUGAUGAAGGUCUUCGGAUCGUAAAACUCUGUUAUUAGGGAAGAACAUAUGUGUAAGUAACUGUGCACAUCUUGACGGUACCUAAUCAGAAAGCCACGGCUAACUACGUGCCAGCAGCCGCGGUAAUACGUAGGUGGCAAGCGUUAUCCGGAAUUAUUGGGCGUAAAGCGCGCGUAGGCGGUUUUUUAAGUCUGAUGUGAAAGCCCACGGCUCAACCGUGGAGGGUCAUUGGAAACUGGAAAACUUGAGUGCAGAAGAGGAAAGUGGAAUUCCAUGUGUAGCGGUGAAAUGCGUAGAGAUAUGGAGGAACACCAGUGGCGAAGGCGACUUUCUGGUCUGUAACUGACGCUGAUGUGCGAAAGCGUGGGGAUCAAACAGGAUUAGAUACCCUGGUAGUCCACGCCGUAAACGAUGAGUGCUAAGUGUUAGGGGGUUUCCGCCCCUUAGUGCUGCAGCUAACGCAUUAAGCACUCCGCCUGGGGAGUACGACCGCAAGGUUGAAACUCAAAGGAAUUGACGGGGACCCGCACAAGCGGUGGAGCAUGUGGUUUAAUUCGAAGCAACGCGAAGAACCUUACCAAAUCUUGACAUCCUUUGACAACUCUAGAGAUAGAGCUUUCCCCUUCGGGGGACAAAGUGACAGGUGGUGCAUGGUUGUCGUCAGCUCGUGUCGUGAGAUGUUGGGUUAAGUCCCGCAACGAGCGCAACCCUUAAGCUUAGUUGCCAUCAUUAAGUUGGGCACUCUAAGUUGACUGCCGGUGACAAACCGGAGGAAGGUGGGGAUGACGUCAAAUCAUCAUGCCCCUUAUGAUUUGGGCUACACACGUGCUACAAUGGACAAUACAAAGGGCAGCGAAACCGCGAGGUCAAGCAAAUCCCAUAAAGUUGUUCUCAGUUCGGAUUGUAGUCUGCAACUCGACUACAUGAAGCUGGAAUCGCUAGUAAUCGUAGAUCAGCAUGCUACGGUGAAUACGUUCCCGGGUCU